rnacentral:rRNA from 1 species
CUUGGUCAUUUAGAGGAAGUAAAAGUCGUAACAAGGUUUCCGUAGGUGAACCUGCGGAAGGAUCAUUAUUGAAAUUAUAGGUGAGGGUUGUAGCUGGCCUCUCGGGGCAUGUGCACGCCCGAGCCCUUAAUCCACACACACCUGUGAACCUAUUGUAAGGGCCCUUAAAAAAGGCCUUUACGUCUUAUCAUCAACCCAUCGUAUGUCUCAUAGAAUGUAAAUAUAUGUCCUCGCCUUAAAAAGUGUUGAUAAACUUAUACAACUUUCAACAACGGAUCUCUUGGCUCUCGCAUCGAUGAAGAACGCAGCGAAAUGCGAUAAGUAAUGUGAAUUGCAGAUUUUCAGUGAAUCAUCGAAUCUUUGAACGCACCUUGCGCUCCUUGGUAUUCCGAGGAGCAUGCCUGUUUGAGUGUCAUUAAAUUCUCAACUCUGAUCGAUUUGUUUCGACUUCGGAGCUUGGAUUUGGAGCGUGCUGGCGUCGGUCGGCUCCUCUUAAAUGCAUCAGCGGAAUCUAACGUUUCGGAUGUCAGUGUGAUAAUCAUGUUGCGCUGUCUGUCUGAUCCGGAAGCCCGCUCACAAUGGUCUUCGGACAACUUCAUAUCAAAUUUGACCUCAAAUCAGGUAGGACUACCCGCUGAACUUAAGCAUAUCAAUAAGCGGAGGA